GACGAACGCUGGCGGCGUGCUUAACACAUGCAAGUCGAACGAAGUGGCGAACGGGUGAGUAAUACGGGGGUAACCUGCCCUCCUUUGUGGGAUAAGCCUUGGAAACGGGGUCUAAUACUGAAUAAAGGGGGAGGGGCUAGUGGCCUAUGGGCUUGUUGGUGGGGUGAUGGCCUACCAAGGCGGUGACGGGGAGCCGGCCUGAGAGGGGGAACGGCAACAUGGGGACGGGGAUACGGCCCAGAGUCCUAAGGGGGGGAGAAGAUGGGGAUAUUGGAGAAUGGGUGAAAGACUGAUGCAGCGACGCUGAGUGGGGGAUGAAGGCUUUAGGGUUGUAAAACUGUUUCGCUAUCGAACGGGUAGGUGGAGAAGAAGCGCCGGCUAACUCCGUGCCAGCAGCCGCGGUAAUUC
rnacentral:rRNA from 1 species